UGUGCCAGCUCCGUUAUCGACGCCGAAUCAACCCUGUUAUUUCGGCCCCUCACAAAGCAAGUGUACGAAAUUGGCAAACAAAAAUAUUUUAUGUGAAUAGUUAAAAAGGGAAAAAGCAAUAACAAAGUAGAAUAAUCAGAAGGAGAAAACUGUACAGGUGCAUUAAUCUGGAACACACACAUAUGUAUGUUAUUGCACAGCCAGUCUGUCGGUCCGUAAGUCAGGGUGCCAUCAUUCGGAAGAAGUACCUACAGCCACGGCCACCGAACUGAUCGGAUCUGCGCUUCUUUUUGUUAUACAUAAAUAAAAACAGAAAUGAAUUUAAAUCAGGCUAGCAACCCCGUCGAAGCUUCGCCAGCACGCAAAGAAAUGUGGCCAUGUUUAGUAAGAGGCUGCUCAGGGCAUAAGCGGUCAUACCAGAUCCCGCUUGGAAAUAGCAAAUAUUGGUACGCUAAUCUGGGAAUAAAGGUAGCACGAAGGCGCUCUAGGGUGUGCGCAAAACAUUUCCUGGCGGAAUGCUUGUUGGAUCAUCGUCUUAGGAUGGGAAGUGUUCCGACUGAAAAUUUAGGCCGAGAGCCAGUGUAUUUACCUAAGUUUAGCAGACAUCAAAGAAUAAGCAUACAAAAAGCUAAAGCUAAGCUCCAAGAAGAGAACAAACAAAUUGAUGGAUGGGACCAGGAGGAUAUAUCCGAAUUUGAUAAAUAUAUCGUUGAAGAUCCCCAGUCCGAUAGCGCGGAACAGUCCACACAUUCCGAAAAGGAUGGAUAUGUCAUUGAAGAUCAUUCACAGUCGGAGUCAACAUUAAAAUCCAUAAAUUUGUAUUUGAAGCAGAGAAAUAAUGAGCUGCAAGCAGAGGCUGAAUGCCUACGUUUAGAAAAUUCUCAAUUAAGAAUGGAGAACAUUUCUUUGAAACGAAGUUUUGAAAUCCAUAAAUGUUUGUUCGAAUAAUGAAAAACAUCCUCCAUGGCAUAACGGAUUUAUCGGCAAUGAAUUAUAAAUGUACCAUAAUUUGUAUUAUGAUAAUUGUGAUAUGGACAUGACAUGUAAAUAAUAUAUUAUAACAAACAAAUGUUUGUUAAUAUGGCCGCUUAAAUAUUUUUAAAGUGCGGUAUUAAAUGUUGGUAUUUUUACAGCGACACCAACUAUCGACACCGAAUCAACCCUGUUCCUUAAGUGCACACACACAGCAACAAUUUUUCAGUAAAUAAUAAAUAAACUAAACAAGUCUUAUCUCUAGGGAAAGUGCAAAUACAACUAUAAUAAUUAAGAGAGUACAGAUUAAUGGAAAAUAAUCCAUUUGAAAUGGAGUGGACCAAUUGUAAAGUGUUUGGUAAAAGGCUGCUCAAGCCAUGAGCGCACAUACUUUGUCCACAAAGGAAAUCGACAACAUUGGUUCGCGAAUCUUAGAAUAAGUGGGGCGCCUACGCGCGCCAAGGUAUGCGUAAAGCACUUCCUAGAUGAAUGCUUUGUGAAUGGAAAGCUUCGGAUAGGAAGUCUUCCCACUGAAAACUUGGGCCAUGAACCAUUGCACAGACCUGUGUUUAGCAGAUGGCAAAAGCGAUAUCGUCGCCGCAUAAAGCCGGAGCUGAAAACAGAAAGUGAUAUUACAGUAAAACCGCCUUUGUCCGAAAGCUUGAAUAUUGAGAAUAGUCUGCUGUCCGCUGAGAGCUUGGCGCGAUUGGAACAAGCCGCAGAUGCAGAAUUUGAAAAAUAUAUCGUUGAAGACGAAAUGUCCGAUGGCGGGGAGCAAACCACACAUUCCGAAAGUCAUGACAAUGAUAGAUUUAUCAUUGAAGACCAGUUGUCCGAUAGCAUGGAAGAAGCCAGCCAUUCUCAGUCCGAAUCAUCAUUAAUUUUGUUUUUGCAACAAAGAAACAAUGAGCUGCAAGCAGAGGCUGAAUGCCUACGCGUAGAGAAUACCCAAUUAAGAAUGGAGAACAUAUCCUUGAAAAAAAGCUUUGAGAUCCAUAAAUGUUUCUUCGAAUGAAAGAACUAGUGUUAAGAACAUGACCACCUCAUAAAAUGAACUAUUUUACUGCGAAUCGCUUCUUAUCCUGGCCAUCAGAUCCCCAAUGCCCCAUAUAAAGUUGUUUCAGUUCAACACAAUUUUUGUAUGAUAAUUAUAGUGUGUAUUAUAGUAUAAUAAGUACAUAAUAAAUCAAUUUUUCCCAUUUCAAAAAGA